GCCUCUAUGGCGCAGUGGUAACGCGUCGCACUUGUAAUGCGAAGAUCUUCAGUUCAAUUCUGAAUGGAGGCA
rnacentral:tRNA from 1 species